GUGUAUAAGAGACAGGUGAGUCAUCGAAUCUUUGAACGCACAUUGCGCCCACUAGUAUUCUAAUGGGCAUGCCUGUUCGAGCGUCAUUUCAACCCUCAAGCACUGCUUGCUGUUGGGGCACUACAGCAUGCUGUAGGCCCUGAAACACAGUGGCGGGUCAGCUGUAAUCCCGAGUGUAGUAACAAACCUCGCCUGGGCUAUUGCAGUUGGCUCUUGCCGUAAAACCCCCCAUAUUUAUAAAGGUUGACCUCGGAUCAGGUAGGAAUACCCGCUGAACUUAAGCAUAUCAAUAAGCGGAGG
rnacentral:misc_RNA from 1 species